GAUGAAGAACGUAGCGAAAUGCGAUAAGUAAUGUGAAUUGCAGAAUUCAGUGAACCAUCGAAUCUUUGAACGCACAUUGCGCCCGGCAGUAAUCUGCCGGGCAUGCCUGUCCGAGCGUCAUUUCUCCCCUCGAGCGCAGCUUUCCCCCCCGGGGGAGGGCCGCGCCCGGUGUUGGGGCGCUACGGAGGAGCCCAGCGCUCCCCCGUAGGCCCCGAAAUGUAGUGGCGGUCCCGCCGCGGCGCCCCCUGCGUAGUAGUUUUACAACUCGCAUCGGGUCCCGGCGGAGGCCAGCCGUCAAACCCCCCAACUUCAAUAGUUUGACCUCGGAUCAGGUAGGGUUACCCGCUGAAUUUAAGCAUAUCAAUAAGCGGAGGA
rnacentral:misc_RNA from 1 species